UACGAAGGGUGCAAGCGUUACUCGGAAUUACUGGGCGUAAAGCGUGCGUAGGUGGUUUGUUAAGUCUGUUGUGAAAGCCCCGGGCUCAACCUGGGAAUGGCAAUGGAUACUGGCAGGCUAGAGUGCGGUAGAGGGUAGUGGAAUCCCCGGUGUAGCGGUGAAAUGCGUAGAGAUCGGGAGGAACACCAGUGGCGAAGGCGGCUACCUGGACCAGCACUGACACUGAGGCACGGAAAGCGUGGGGAGCAAACAGG
rnacentral:rRNA from 1 species